UGUCUCUAUGGAUUAUCCCUGUCCCUAUUGCUCUAUAGGGUCCCUAUGGGGUCUCUAUGGGGUCUCUAUGGGUUCUCCCUGUCCCUAUUGCCCUAUGGGGUCUCUAUGGGUUCUCCCCAUCUCUAUUGCUCUAUAGGGUCUCUAUGGGGUCUCUAUGGGUUCUCCCCAUCCCUAUUGCUCUAUGGGGUCCCUAUGGGGUCUCUAUGUCCCUAUAUGCCUAUAUGGGGUCUCUAUGGGGUCUCUAUGGGUUCUCCCCAUCCUUAUUGCUCUAUAGGGUCUCUAUGGGGUCUCUAUGGGUUCUCCCCAUCCCUAUUGCUCUAUAGGGUCUCUAUGGGGUUAUGGGGUCUCUAUGGGGUCUCUAUAGGGUCUCUAUGGGGUCUCUAUGGGUUCUCCCCAUCCCUAUUGCUCUAUAGGGUCUCUAUGGGGUCUCUAUGGGUUCCCCCUGUCCCUAUUGCUCUAUGGGGUCUCUAUGGGUUCUCCCCGUCCCUAUUGCUCUAUAGGGUCUCUAUAGGGUCUCUAUGGGGUCUCUAUGGGGUCUCUAUGGGGUCUCUAUGGGGUCUCCCUGUCCCUAUUGCUCUAUGGGGUCUCUAUGGGGUCUCUAUGGGUUCUCCCAAUCCUUGUUGCUCUAUAGGGUCUCUAUGGGGUCUCUAUGGGUUCUCCCUUUCCCCAUUGCUUUAUGGGGUCUCUAUGGGGUCUCUAUGGGGUCUCUAUGGGGUCUCUAUGGGGUCUCUAUGGGGUCUCUAUGGGUUCUCCCUGUCCCUAUAUAUCUCUAUGGGGUCUCUAUGGGGUCUCUAUGGGGUCUCCCCAUCCCUAUUGCUCUAUAGGGUCUCUAUGGGGUUAUGGGGUCUCUAUGGGGUCUCUAUGGGGUCUCCCCGUCCCUAUUUCUCUAUAGGGUCUCUAUGGGGUUAUGGGGUCUCUAUGGGGUCUCUAUGGGUUCUCCCCAUCCCUAUCCCUCUAUAGGGUCUCUAUGGGGUCUCUAUGGGUUCUCCCUUUCCCUAUUGGUCUAUGGGAUCUCUAUGGGUCUCCCUGUCCCUAUGGGGUCUCUAUAGGGUCUCUAUGGGGUCUCUAUGGGGUCUCCCUGUCCCUAUUGCUCUAUGGGGUCUCUAUAGGGUCUCUAUGGGGUCUCUAUGGGGUCUCUAUGGGUCUCCCUGUCCCUAUGGGGUCUCUAUGGGGUUAUGGGGUCUAUAUGGGGUCUCUAUUGCUCUCCCUGUCCCUAUGGG
rnacentral:lncRNA from 1 species